AAAUAGAGAUAUCUUUCUCUUCUCCUUUUUACAAAUUUAUUUAACUUUCAGAUUUUAAAGAUGAUUGUAAACGACAAAUCUGAAAUUUCUUUUCAAUAAUACCCAAAAAUUUAUGCAGUAUUUCGAACAUUCAAUCAAAUUAUCUAAGCAUGGAGCAUUACAAAAUAUUGAGAACCCAUAAUUCAAAACAUCAUUCCACAUGCAACAUAUAUUAUGUGUUUAGUCAUGCAUUA
rnacentral:lncRNA from 1 species